UGAGGAAUAUUGGUCAAUGGACGAAAGUCUGAACCAGCCAUGCCGCGUGAAGGAAUAAGGCCCUAUGGGUCGUAAACUUCUUUUGUAUGUGAGCAAUAAGGUCCACGCGUGGUCCGAUGAGAGUAGCAUACGAAUAAGCAUCGGCUAACUCCGUGCCAGCAGCCGCGGUAAUACGGAGGAUGCGAGCGUUAUCCGGAUUUAUUGGGUUUAAAGGGAGCGUAGGCCGGAGGGUAAGCGUGUUGUGAAAUGCAGUUGCUCAACAUCUGCACUGCAGCGCGAACUGUUCUCCUUGAGUGCGCAGGAAGUAGGCGGAAUUCGUCGUGUAGCGGUGAAAUGCUUAGAUAUGACGAAGAACUCCGAUUGGGAAGCCAGCUUACUGUAGCGCCACUGACGCUGA
rnacentral:rRNA from 1 species